rnacentral:lncRNA from 1 species
AGAAAGAAAGAAAGAAAAAAAAAAAAAGCAUAUUUGACGUUAGGGGAAAAAAACCCUUUAACGCUGUAAAAGUCUCUCUGGUUAUUUUCACUUUUUGUUUUGGACAAAAAAGAAGGAGAUGAGAGGAACAUUUUUAAAACGCCAUGUAGAUCGCCUCGUGGUUAUUUUUAUUGUUUUAAAGAUAAUAACCAGAACUGCAGGAGGAUCUCUGUGACUCCCGGUCAGCCUGAGGGACAUAGUGAGACUUUGUUUUAAAGAGUGGGUUAGCAGCAAACUUAAGCAACUUUUCUCGAAGGAAGAGAGACCUGCCCUGGUCAUUUGAGGAAUAGGAUGGAUGCGGUAUUGUGGACUCUGCUCAGGCUGAGCGGCAGGCAGUUAUUAAAUAAGGUGUGGCACCAGGCCUGUGACCCAGAACUUGAGAAGCUGGAGCAGAAGACAGCUGUGACCUCAAAGACCACCGAGGUUACAUAAUGAACUCAGCCUGGACAAGAGAUUAUCUGCCCAUUGCCUGGGGCUUAAGAGCAUGGACUUUCAUCUGAGUGACCUCCAGGGGUUAUGCUGUGGUACAUAAGUCAACUUCCC